AACGAACGCUGGCGGCAUGCCUAACACAUGCAAGUCGAACGGGAUCCUAGCUUGCUAGGUGAGAGUGGCGGACGGGUGAGUAACACGUGGGAAUCUGCCUUUUGGUUCGGGAUAACCGCGGGAAACUGCGGCUAAUACCGAAUGCCCUCGAGAGAGGAAAGAUUUAUCGCCAGAAGAGGAGCCCGCGUCCGAUUAGGUAGUUGGUGGGGUAAAGGCCUACCAAGCCGACGAUCGGUAGCUGGUCUGAGAGGAUGAUCAGCCACACUGGACUGAGAUACGGCCCAGACUCCUACGGGAGGCAGCAGUGGGGAAUAAUUGGACAAUGGGGCGAACCUGAUCCAGCAAUGCCGCGUGAGUGAUGAA
rnacentral:rRNA from 1 species